GAGAGAGAGAGAGAGACCUCGACUCGGAUCCAACAGGAUUUCACCAAACAAGCCCUUAAAAGUUUUGGAAGUCAAUUUUGUAAGACACCGAUACACCUUUACCAAUCGUAACAUUAAUAAAGUUCUAUCAUUUCUUAAUUAAUCUAUUAAAAACAACCUUUUGAGCUUGAUAAAAUGUAAAUAGCAUAUAUCUAGAAACACUUCAUCAAUAAAAUGCCAGAUUUUGCAUAAAGAUUUCACCUUACCACCUACAGUUAUAUUGUGAGAUUAAAUGGUUAGGUGGAAGCAUAUAUUUAAUAUACACCACUCCUUUCUAGCCGUAUGAUAAUGUUUGUCUGAUGCAUCUGGAAAGGCAAAAGGUAGGUGUAAGAGGUGUUCCUUGAUUCAUAUUAUCAGUGGCAUUUGACGUUAUGUCACAUUCUGUUGCUACAAUCAGUCUCAUCAUGAUCAUUUCCCAAGACAUGAUAGAGAAGAAGGUAAGAAUGUGGAAUUCUAAGAGAGUGCACCAGAGAUGAAUGCACCUUUCACCCAAAGCAUUAUCAAUUCCAAAUGCUUGAAAUAAUCCUCUGACAGCCAAUCUAACAUCAUGAGAAGGUAGGGGUAUUCCAAAAAUGGCAACCAUGCUAGGAUUUCAAAGGAAGAUGGAUGAAGAAAUGGAAAUAAUCAUCCUUAUUCCAGCAAAGGAGGAAACGAUCCUUUUGCUUGGCCUCCUAAAAAAAGAAAGCACCCCCAGAUGAAGCCCCAUUUCGGACUACUUUUUGGAGGGGACAAAAGCGCUUUCUAGAGUCCAAAAGCACUUCUAGGCAAUAUAUGGGUGGGUGUUUAGUUAAAAAAAAACUGAAAGAAUUUUCUGGUCCUCCCAAAAGCACCAAUUUGGAGCUUCUUUCUUAAAGUGCGUUAUGAAGCCCGUCAAAAAGAUGUUUGUGUGACCAAAAUACUUUGAACUUUACACUAUAUUAUAUUAAUAUGAAAAUAAUAUUAUAAUAUAAUGCUAUUGUAAUUUUAUACUAAAUAAUAUCAAA
rnacentral:lncRNA from 1 species